rnacentral:lncRNA from 1 species
GUUCUCCCUCCCCUCCCGUGCGACCCACUCCUCCUCCUCACUUUCUCUCUCGUCUCCUCAUGGGUUUGCAAAUUCAGACGUGGGCUGUAGCGUGGCAUCGCCAUUCCCCGCUUUCUCAUGAAUCCUGCAGUAGCGUCGAGUAAGCUUCAUCGCCGAUCCGACGCUCGCUUCGGGCAUCGCAGAGGCAGUGGCGUGACCCACACACGGGUGGAUGAAUGAGACUUAGAUGAACUGUGAGAUGAAUGAAACGAGGAUGAUAAUUAUGGAUGGCUGAA